GCCAUAAGCCACAAUACUCUAUUCCAUGCCAAUUAUACAAUAUUCAUCAAGUUAGGUCAACUUUACCUCUUUCCAUAGCUAUCUUCAUCAUCCUCAUAUUCCAACAAUUAACAAUACAAUAACAAUGAUAUUAAAAACGUUCAACUACACAAGCUAAGCUAAACUAUAUCCAAUAACCAACAUAAAGGCUAAAUCCCAAUUUAUGACCAUUCUAGGAUACUACCUCACAUUAUACAAUUUAAUAACAAUUUCCAACAAUUCAACAUAGCUAAGAGCAUAUAAGAGCAGCCCACAUCAAACAACUCUAUAAUCCUUCAUCAAUUACUCAAAAUCAAUAGACCCACUUUAGGCCAAAUUUUGAGAAUUUAAGAAGACAUGGGUUCAAGAAGAUUUAUUUCUUAAAACCACCAAUAAUCAUUAAUAACAACCUAAAACAUCAUUUAAAAUCAAUUAAUGCAAGAAUCCAUGCUAGAAUUGAAAUUAGGUUUGUUUUUGAGUUUUUGAACAACUUUUGAAAUCUUUUGAAUUGACUCAUUGAUUGAAGAAGAAAUCAAAGAUGAAGUGUCCACAUACCUUAAUAUUCAAGAACCAAAUGAAAUUGAAGAAGAAACACCAUGAAAUCGUCAACCCUAGCUUUACUUGAACAUGACCUCCAAAGGAGUUUCUAGAGAGAAGACUUUGGGAGAGAAAGGAAAUAAGGUUUUGAUUUGGGGUCUAAAGAGAGUAAAUGACUUGUUAAAAAGACAUAAAACCCUAUAUAUUUAUCAAAUAAGUUAUUUAAAAUCAACCCCACAUAAUAAAACAUUAAAACGGAAUUACCAAAAACCCCUCAACUUGAGGCAGCCCGUAAGGGACCACGCCCAGCUAAACGGGUCGUGAGGGGCACUCCGGCUCGUGGUGGUGCCCGUGGUACCUGGACCAGUGAGCCUCUCCACCAUGUCAAGUCCUCAAGGGCCCAAGGCAUCUUCACGGGAGCUCCCACAAUCCGUGGUGCAAACCACGAAUCGUGGCGGAGCUCGUGAAGAUGAUGCAGCACCAAGGUAAAGUUCCCUUGCCUCCCUUGAGACCAAGUGAUCUUCACGCCCAAGUAUACGGACCGUCUAGGGCACCACUUGUCGCGGUGGUGCCCGUGGUCAUUGGGACAGUGAGCAGCCAACUUGGGACAGCCUUGGCUUUUUGGCUAAGGCUUGCCCUUUUUGGCUUGGCUCCUUGUCUAGCACCCUCAACCAACCUAGAGUAGGUCUCAUAACAUAGAAUCUAACACGUGCCUUGACGUUGACUCCUAAAACUCUUCAAACUACGCCUUAAAAGCCAAAACUUAUCAUUUAAACAAGAUAACCUCUACAAAAACACAUGAGAGGCUCUAGUUCUUCCUAUUUCAUUUUUAGGGUCGUUAUAUUAUCCACCACUUGGGAACAUUCGUCCUCGAAUGCUACUUAAACACUUUUCAAGGAAAACGACCAAAGUAAACAGCCCAUACUCAUGCAUACCAUAAUAUAAACCAUACACAUAAUAAGGAAGAACAUCACUCCAUAUCAAAGUCCCACAAUAACUUCAUGCAAUUCGAGAAACUAGGGACAACAUCUACUAACUCCUUAUGCAUCAUCUUUACCCUUUUCUCACGCUAUUGGAGGAACUUCCAUCUCCAAUUCACAUCAUGCUCAUUCAAACAUCAUCAAGCACAUCAUGCAAAUUUCUCAUUAAUGCACAAUUAUGCAACAUUUAUCUUAAGGCACAUUUAUGCAAUUCUCUCCUAAAGGCUCCAUAUGCAACUUCUCAAUAACACAUAAGGCAUGCUAACCAAGUCAACUCAUGCAGCAUUUAGGAAAAUCAUUACAUAUGCACAUCAACAUUAGGAACAUAACUUUAUGAAAACUCAUUUUCCCACUUUAACAAGAAUUCAUUUAAAUCAUGCCUAAUAUAAGGAGAUCGUGGAAAAAUCUUCUUUUUUUUUCACCUAAGACUCCAAGACAUGCUACAAGCUUCUAGGAACUUUUUGUUUUAGGCUUGAAUAGUCACAUAAUAAAAAGGUAAGGAUAUCAACACUCCUCAACCCCCUCACUACUCAACAUACCAUCCCCCACUUAAGGGUAAACCAAGUUAAGGACAACAUGGACAUGCCAUAAGAAUCUCAAGGGAAAGACCAUCAAUCUUACCAAAAACCAUUCUCACCCAACUCUUCAAUUCCCUAAACCUCUUGUAAUGAGAACAUCUUUCAAACCUAACUCAUGACUACCAAAGAUUCUCAAAAAGCCUUACCAUAAAGACACAACAUCCCCCACUUAGAAGGAACUGAUACCGACUCUUUCAAUUUCAUCUCUUCCACCGUAUGGUAGGAUCACCACAACACUAAACUUCCAUACUCAUCACACAUAUGCCCCUUAAAACACCGCACUCCAUCAUCUCUUUCAACAUACCUCAACAUCAACAUAUCUAAGUCGGAUUCUACCAAUAACACACAAAACCAUAAAGCAACUCAUCCAACCUAGAGUCAUCAUCACAAACUCUCACACCAUCUUCACUAAGUCAGAAAGCCAUAGUUGGCAUCACAACCAACCUAUUCCUCUCCCUCAACCCCUGUAACAACAACAUCUCACAGGUCACACUUUAAGGACCAUCACAUAGGGAACAAAGGAAGAAAUUAUAGAGAGAAACUCCAUGGCACGACUAAGAGAAUGAAGAAGUGAAACUUUCUUAGCACCCAAUAGCCUCCUAUUCAUAAUGUGGUGCGCUUCACAUUAUGAACAAGACAAUACUAGAUGUGGUUUGAGACAACCUAAGACUAUUUCAACACCUUAUGCUCUGAUACCAAGUUUGUCACGACCCAGGAGCAACCCCAAGUCACGACACGGCGUACUCGACCUCUCGGAGGUUUAAUACAAGCCUCUUAGGAUUCAUUCAUCGCAUAGACACUAAAAUCCAUUAGGAAUUUAAAACUUUCUUCACACACAAAGAAUACUUUCAUUAAUAAGCAAGCGGAAGACUUUUAAAACAUCUAAUCUUUACAAUAUAUAUGUCUCAUAUACCAUCUAAUACUUUGGAGUACAACAUAGGGACUAAGCCCAUACAAGACUUAAAGAAAAUGCUAGAAAUACAUCAAAAGGAACAUGUAGGGUAUUGUCCUCGUAUCUAUAUGGACUCACCAAGUCCUCAUCUUCAACACUUAAAAACCUAUCAAGUAGCCAUGACAUGUCACCAUCUCCAAAUCGCUACACUUUAGUCAAAAAGGGAAAAUAAAAGUUUAGCACAAUUAGUACUAAGUAUGGAGACCAUGCAAAAAUAUGCACAAUGGACAUUUACAAGGAGUGUAUGCUUUCAUAUCAUUUUGAUAAAACCUACACUUCACAAGUAUAAGAGACACAAUAGAAUUCAACAUUCACAUAUAAGACUAUAUAUAGCCAACCAUACACCUACUCAACAUAUAUCCAUAUACAACCCAAAUGCUUAACUUUAAGAGAACACUUGCCAUUUCAUUACCAUAGGACCUCUACCUAAUAUAAUCUUAAGACACACUUGAGUAAGACAAGAAGUGACUGCCCAUACAACCUCUUCAAGCACACUUAAGUGUUCCCCAAGAUUACCCUAGAUAAGGACAUUUCUUUUACAACAUAACAUUGAUAGACAGACAUUCUUUUAAGAAACCAUUUAGAAGAGAUACAAGCACAUUAGGGGACCUUCACAUAAUAGUCGUUAGACUUAGGGAACUCACUUUAGUAUCUUCAAAGCCUACUCGUGCCAUGUGUAGAUAGCAUCCCAUACUACUACCUACACUUUGUAGAACCUAUCAAGAAACCAUAAUGAAAUCUCACAUGAUGGGAAGUAAGCAUUUAACCGACAUAGACCAUGAGAGCUUGUCAUGGAAUCCGGUGUCAUGAGUCCCCACACCGAAAAGAGGUGGUCUACUUGCCUAAGGAAGACCGGUAUAUAUAGCUUAAUGGAUCCACUAGCUUCCUAUGCGGGCACAUAGUUUAUGGGAUAGUUCAACCAACUCAUAGUACCUCUUCCCAAGAAAGGCCCCAUUUCUUAGUCAUAGUCAAUCAAGGUUCAUAAGGAUAGCUCAUUUAACUUUCUUAGAUAAGGAUUCUCAUGCCGUUCCGGCUCCAUCCAUCUCUAAGUCUAUUAUUUCACUCAAGAAGGGAACAUCUCCCGAAGGCCCAUCCUUUAGGGUUUUACAAUUACUUAGGAAUCUCGACUUAUGAAAGGGCACCAUUUCUUAGUUCUGCCGAUUCAAGUCUCGGCCUAGAAUUCCUCUUUUAGCUUUUACAAAAAGGGUACCAUUUCUUACUUCUAGCCCACUUCACAUAUUCGUGCAUUCAAGAGUUCAAGUGACAAGAGGAGACACUUUAGUCUACUAACCAAGUCACAACAUUAUCAUUUGAGGAUACUUCAUAAUCCAACAUCAUCACAUAUAUACCUCAUGAGAAUUCACACUUUAGAGCAGAAUGCUAUCCAUUUUACAUAGGAUUAUCACAAGAUUACAUAAACUCAAUCGCAUCAUAUCUUCACAUAUAGCUUCACAAUUUUUUUUACAUAUAGCUUCAUAUAGGACUUUACAUAUAGCCUCAUUUAUAUAUAUAAUAACACAACAAUAUAACAAUACUCAUAUAAUGCCCUUUAUGGCCACAAUCAUUAUUCUAGAGCAACAAGCAACACUUCCACCAAAGGUUGAUCCAACCUAAGAAACAAUUAUAGCAAUAUUAAAAGAUCAAGCCAUCUUACCACCUUCCAAAGGCCAUAAGUCACAAUACUCAAUUUCAUGCCAAUCUACAAUAUUCAUCAAGUUAGGUCAACUUUACCUCUUUCCAUAGUUAUCUUUAUCAUCCUCAUAUUCCAACAAUUAACAAUACAUUAACAAUGAUAAUAACAACAUUCAACUAUACAAGCUAAGCUAAACAAUAUCCAAUAACCAACAUAAAGGUUAAAUCCCAAUUUAUGACCAUUCUAGGCUACUAC
rnacentral:lncRNA from 1 species